UUGCCUGUAGCUCAGAGAAAAGAGCAACCGCCUUCUAAGCGGUUGGUCGCUGGUUCGAAUCCAGCAAGGCGAGCCA
rnacentral:tRNA from 1 species